UACGUAGGGUGCGAGCGUUAAUCGGACUUACUGGGCGUAAAGCGUGCGCAGGCGGUUCGUGAUGUCUGAUGUGAAAGCCCCGGGCUCAACCUGGGAAUUGCAUUGGAAACUAGCGGGCUGGAGUGUGGCAGAGGGGGGUGGAAUUCCACGUGUAGCAGUGAAAUGCGUAGAGAUGUGGAGGAACACCGAUGGCGAAGGCAGCCCCCUGGGCUAACACUGACGCUCAUGCACGAAAGCGUGGGGAGCAAACAGG
rnacentral:rRNA from 1 species